GGUGAAGCAGGAAUCAGAGAAUCAUCUCUCCGUUCAUUGGACAGCAGAUCCAAUUUGUGAUAUGGUAUCUGACUCCGUGGUGGCAUUGGUUCUGAAUGCCAGCAGGGAGAUGCCUAAAGUAUCAAUUGACUCGGAAACUCCCCUUAAUGAGGAAGAAGAUGCAAAGAAGACUGAGAAAAUAGUCCAUGCACUCCUGGUUUCUAUGUUUGGUAAUGUGAAAGUUGGGGACGGUGGUAAGCUGGUUAUCAAUUUUGAUGGGAUUUUGGCUCAUCUGGACAAACAAACUGGUGACGUCGAGUGUGAAAAUGAAGCUCUCAAGGAGAGAGUUAAGACUGCAUACUGGCGAAUUAGAAGUGCAGUGAAGCCAAUACCGCUUUCUACAUCUUAGCCUCUUGUAUUAUCUUUUGUAACCGUG
rnacentral:misc_RNA from 1 species